rnacentral:ribozyme from 1 species
UGGAACUUUCGUCACCUCUGUGACUCUGCAACUCUGUAACGUGGUAGAAGUGCGGUGCAGAGUGGUAACGUGCACCACCAUAUCCAAGCUUGGGUAAACUGGCUAGACAUAACCCCUUGGGCGGAUGGUGGUGCACGGCAAAACAGGAAGUG